rnacentral:rRNA from 1 species
GACGAACGCUGGCGGCGUGCCUAAUACAUGCCAGUAGAACGCUGAAGGAGGAGCUUGCUUCUCUGGAUGAGUUGCGAACGGGUGAGUAACGCGUAGGUAACCUGCCUGGUAGCGGGGGAUAACUAUUGGAAACGAUAGCUAAUACCGCAUAAUAGCAGUUGUUGCAUGACAACUGUUUGAAAGGUGCAAUUGCACCACUACCAGAUGGACCUGCGUUGUAUUAGCUAGUUGGUGGGGUAACGGCUCACCAAGGCGACGAUACAUAGCCGACCUGAGAGGGUGGUCGGCCACACUGGGACUGAGGCACGGCCCAGACUCCUACGGGAGGCAGCAGGAGGGAAUCUUCGGCAAUGGACGGAAGUCUGACCGAGCAACGCCGCGUGAGUGAAGAAGGGUUUCGGAUCGUAAAGCUCUGUUGUAAGAGAAGAACGAGUGUGAGAGUGGAAAGUUCACACUGUGACGGUAUCUUACCAGAAAGGGACGGCUAACUACGUG